GACGAACGCUGGCGGCGUGCUUAACACAUGCAAGUCGAACGGAAAGGCCCUGCUUUUGUGGGGUGCUCGAGUGGCGAACGGGUGAGUAACACGUGAGUAACCUGCCCUUGACUUUGGGAUAACUUCAGGAAACUGGGGCUAUUACCGGAUAGGAGCUCCUGCUGCAUGGUGGGGGUUGGAAAGUUUCGGCGGUUGGGGAUGGACUCGCGGCUUAUCAGCUUGUUGGUGGGGUAGUGGCUUACCAAGGCUUUGACGGGUAGCCGGCCUGAGAGGGUGACCGGCCACAUUGGGACUGAGAUACGGCCCAGACGCCUACGGGAGGCAGCAGUGGGGAAUAUUGCACAAUGGGCGGAAGCCUGAUGCAGCAACGCCGCGUGCGGGAUGACGGCCUUCGGGUUAUAAACCGCUUUCGCCUGUGACGAAGCGUGAGUGACGGUAAUGGGUAAAGAAGCACCGGCUAACUACGUG
rnacentral:rRNA from 1 species